UACGGGGGGAGCAAGCGUUGUUCGGAUUUACUGGGCGUAAAGGGCGCGUAGGCGGCCAGCACAAGUCAGUUGUGGAAUCUCCGAGCUUAACUCGGAAAGGUCAACUGAUACUGUGCGGCUAGAGUGCGGAAGGGGCAACUGGAAUUCUUGGUGUAGCGGUGAAAUGCGUAGAUAUCAAGAGGAACACCUGCGGCGAAGGCGGGUUGCUGGGCCGACACGUGACGCUGAGGCGCGAAAGCCAGGGGAGCGAACGGG
rnacentral:rRNA from 1 species